rnacentral:hammerhead_ribozyme from 1 species
AGUGAAUGACGAGUCCCAAAUAGGACGAAAUGCGCAUCCCGGCU